AUUGAACGCUGGCGGCAGGCCUAACACAUGCAAGUCGAGCGGAUGAAGGGAGCUUGCUCCUGGAUUCAGCGGCGGACGGGUGAGUAAUGCCUAGGAAUCUGCCUGGUAGUGGGGGAUAACGUCCGGAAACGGGCGCUAAUACCGCAUACGUCCUGAGGGAGAAAGUGGGGGAUCUUCGGACCUCACGCUAUCAGAUGAGCCUAGGUCGGACUAGCUAGUUGGUGGGGUAAAGGCCUACCAAGGCGACGAUCCGUAACUGGUCUGAGAGGAUGAUCAGUCACACUGGAACUGAGACACGGUCCAGACUCCUACGGGAGGCAGCAGUGGGGAAUAUUGGACAAUGGGCGAAAGCCUGAUCCAGCCAUGCCGCGUGUGUGAAGAAGGUCUUCGGAGUGUAAAGCACUUUAAGUUGGGAGGAAGGGCAGUAAGUUAAUACCUUGCUGUUUUGACGUUACCAACAGAAUAAGCACCGGCUAACUUCGUG
rnacentral:rRNA from 1 species